UACGUAGGGACCAAGCGUUGUUCGGAUUUACUGGGCGUAAAGGGUGCGUAGGCGGGUCUUUAAGUCAGGGGUGAAAUCCUGGAGCUCAACUCCAGAACUGCCUUUGAUACUGAGGAUCUUGAGUUCGGGAGAGGUGAGUGGAACUGCGAGUGUAGAGGUGAAAUGCGUAGAUAUCGGAAGGAACACCGGUGGCGAAAGCGGCGCGCUGGACCUCUUCUGACGCUGAGGCGCGAAAGCCAGGGGAGCAAACGGG
rnacentral:rRNA from 1 species